AGUGAACGCUGGCGGUAGGCCUAACACAUGCAAGUCGAACGGCAGCACAGUAAGAGCUUGCUCUUACGGGUGGCGAGUGGCGGACGAGUGAGGAAUACAUCGGAAUCUACUUUUUCGUGGGGGAUAGCGUAGGGAAACUUACGCUAAUACCGCAUACGACCUACGGGUGAAAGCAGGGGAUCUUCGGACCUUGCGCGAUUGAAUGAGCCGAUGUCGGAUUAGCUAGUUGGCGGGGUAAAGGCCCACCAAGGCGACGAUCCGUAGCUGGUCUGAGAGGAUGAUCAGCCACACUGGAACUGAGACACGGUCCAGACUCCUACGGGAGGCAGCAGUGGGGAAUAUUGGACAAUGGGCGCAAGCCUGAUCCAGCCAUACCGCGUGGGUGAAGAAGGCCUUCGGGUUGUAAAGCCCUUUUGUUGGGAAAGAAAAGCAGCAGGUUAAUACCCCGCUGUUCUGACGGUACCCAAAGAAUAAGCACCGGCUAACUUCGUG
rnacentral:rRNA from 1 species